UACGAAGGGGGCUAGCGUCGUUCGGAAUUACUGGGCGUAAAGAGUGAGCAGUCGGUUGUGUUAGUCGGUUGUUAAAUCUCAUGGCUUAACUGUGAGACCGCAUCCGAAACGGCACGACUGGAGCUGGUAAGAGGUGCGCGGAACGUGCGGUGUAGGGGUGAAAUCCAUUGAUAUCGCACGGAACACCAAAAGCGAAGGCAGCGCACUUGCGCCAUGCUGACGAUUAGUCACUAAAGCGUGGGGAUCAAAAAGG
rnacentral:rRNA from 1 species